GCUGUUUUAAGCUACUAAAUUUUAAGGUAUCCAGAUGCAGAAGUCUUACUUCCUGCUUUUCUAUGACAUCAUCCUUCAGAAGGCGGGGCAUAGGCAAGAACAUGAUAAAGCACUUCUCCUUCCUGCCAUCAUGUGAAGAAGGAUGUGUUUGCUUCCCCUUCUGCCAGGAUUGUACGUUUCCUGAAGCCUCCCCAGCCUGCAGAACUGCAUUCACAUUCACUCACCACUUACUGACUCACCCGGAGCAACUUCCAGCCCUGCAAGCUUCAUUUAUGGUAUGUACCCUACAUAGUUGUAUUUUUUUUUUAUCUUUUAUACCAUAUUUUUACUGUAUCUUUUCUAUGUUUAGAUAUGUUUAUAUACACAAAUACCAUGUUAUAAUUGCCUACAGUAUUCAGUACAGUAACUUGCUCUACAGGUUUGUAGCCUAGAAGCUGUAGGCGAUACCAUAUAGCCUAGGUGUGUAGGAGGCAAUACCAUGGAGGUUUGUGAAAGUACAUUCUAUGAUGUUCCAAUGGCAAAGAAAUUGCCUAAUGACGCAUUUCCCAGAAGUGUCCCCCCACAACCCCGACACACGCUCCACCCCCAUUAAGUAACGCAUGACUACCUCAGCAAAUGUUAAAACUAUGUAACUGUGUAUAAGGCAUGUCCAUGGGUGUGUGAACCAUCGAGUGUGGACAGACGAGCUCUCAGUGAAAGAAUUUAGCGCUUAAUACAGGACUCAAAUCUUUAGAGAGAGCCGGCGGGUUUGAGCCUGGCUCUUCCCACAGGUCAGAGAAGGUUGACUUCCAUUUUCCAUGGAAGUCAUGGUUAAGUAUUUGGCUAACUACUCUGUAAAUGAGAGUAAUGACCUCUGAUAAUGGUAGACCGAUUAAAUGAUAAAAGAAGAAGUCUUUAGCACAUUCUCUCAGACAUUCAAUAAACUUGAAUUACCUCUCUUAACAUCUGGGUUUCAGAUUGCUGGUUCCUUUGUAAAAACUUCCAUAUUUAGAAUUAUCUGGGCUAUUUAAUUACAUUUAGUCAUUUUGUCAGUUCUUUUAAAUUAUUUAUUUUACUUGAUUUCUCAUAUAUUAUGCUAUGUAACAAUGAUUCAGUAUUCUGAUAUCUGGG
rnacentral:lncRNA from 10 species